rnacentral:lncRNA from 1 species
AUUAGAAGUAAGCAUUAAUCAACAGGGGGCAGUGCGAUUCAAGAAAUUUCAGCCUACCUACAAUAGCAAAACAAUUAAAAUAAAAAAUAAAAAAAUUAGCUGAUUGCAUAAGAGAUUAUAAUGAAUGACAAUGAUUCAAUAUCACUGUCCACCUUCUGUAAAUCAAACGCAUGCACAGUCUGAGUUGCAUAUCAGUUCUGAUAUUUAUACACAACUCAUGUGCAGUUUAAAUCUUCUUUUCCCCAUUUUAUCCCUUUUUUUUCUCCCAGGUUUUACCAGUUAGGACCCAAUAUAGCUGACAUCACUUCCUCCUGCUGGUGUGUUUAAUUCAAAGCAGAAGCACUUGAUGAAAGAAACUAUGACAAACAUGUUCAAGAUGUUCACAGUAUCUGUGUUACUAAUGAUGUUUACAGCUGUCUGUCUCGUUAAAUCUGUUCUCCAGACACCUGAUGACCUCUUGAAGAAUCAAGAUGAAUCUGCUGUGAUCACUUGUUCUCAAAAUAUACAGAGCUAUGACCAAAUAUUAUGAUGACAUCACUUCCUCUUGUGCCUGUACUUCAUCAUAGCAGAAGCACUCACUUUAUUACAAAGAGCUGACACGAUGAACACUUUCCUUAUCAGAUCUGCAUGUCUGUUGUGGCUAACAGGUAAUAGUAAAAAAUAUGUUGUGCAAGUGAUGAUUAACAAAAAUGUUACUUCCAUGUUAUAAUGAUUAUUU